CCUGAGGGUAUUGUACCCAUUAGGUACAAAUGAAUCUACAAAAAGAAGAUAGGUACCGAUGGUAAGGUAGAGACCUAUAGCUAGGCUUGUAGCAAAAGGUUAUAGUCAAUGCGAGGGUAUUGACUAUCAGAAAACCUUCUUGUCCAUAGCCAUGCUGAAAUUUGUCUGCACUUUGCUUGCUGUUGUGGCUUACUAUGAUUAUGAAGUCUAACAAAUAG
rnacentral:lncRNA from 1 species